rnacentral:rRNA from 1 species
AGCGUUGCUCGGAAUUACUGGGCGUAAAGCGCACGUAGGCGGCUUUCUAAGUCGGGGGUGAAAUCCUGGAGCUCAACUCCAGAACUGCCUUCGAUACUGGAGAGCUUGAGUCCGGGAGAGGUGAGUGGAACUGCGAGUGUAGAGGUGAAAUGCGUAGAUAUCGGGAGGAAUACCUAUGGCGAAAGCAGGCUUCUGGGCCAUCACUGACGCUGAGCUGCGAAAGCUAGGGGAGCAAACAGG